rnacentral:rRNA from 1 species
AGGACAAACGCUGGCGGCGUGCUUAACACAUGCAAGUCGAACGGUCCUCGCUUCGGUGAGGAUAGUGGCGGACGGGUGAGUAACACGUAGAUGACCUGCCCUCGUGUGGGGAAUAACUACUCGAAAGAGUGGCUAAUACCGCAUACGUUCUCCCUCGUUGGAGAGAGAAGAAACCUUGGUCGUAAGACCUGGGGCACGUGGAGGGGUCUGCGGCGGAUUAGCUAGUUGGUGAGGUAACGGCCCACCAAGGCGACGAUCCGUAGCUGGUCUGAGAGGACGGCCAGCCACACUGGGACUGAGACACGGCCCAGACUCCUACGGGAGGCAGCAGUGAGGAAUAUUCCACAAUGGGCGAAAGCCUGAUGGAGCGACGCCGCGUGCGGAAGAAGGCCUGGGUUGUAAACCGCUUUGUGGGAGUGAUACGUGUACGGUAAUAUCCGUGCACUAGGACAGUACCCGCGAAUAAGCCUCGCUAACUACGUGCCAGCACGCCGACGUAAUCUGA